rnacentral:snRNA from 1 species
AUACUCACUUUGUCAGCACAUAUUCUAAAAUUGGACUGAUAACAGAGAUUAGCAUGGCUCCUGCGCAAGGAUGACAGGCAAAUUCAUGAAAAAUUCCAGUUUUCA